CAGUCAAUUAGCUGCUGAUUUCAUGCGGCCCGCAUCAGGAGCGCAUCGCUCUCUCUAUGAUCCCGACACCCCCACCACCACCAACACCAACCAUACCCACACACGUACCCGCCGCUCAUCUCUCUACUUCUCCCCACCACCACCCUCUCCGCUCGGUGUGUAGCGGUGUUGCUCCGCGCUGCCGUCUCCCACUGCAGAUCUCUCAGCGCCUCUCACUGCCAUUUGGGCGGACAGGCGUGUGUGCCGCGACAACCUCAGCGAGCGAGAGAAGCGUACCCCAUGGUGCUCUCCGUCUGCCCCCGAAUAGGGUCACGGCAGCGAUCCCGUUGCUGCGGGGCCGCUGCCGUUGCUGCACCUCUGCUGGCCAUGGCCUGUCUGCUGCUCGCGCUCUGCAUCCUGCCGGACCCAGCAGCUGCGGUGGUGGGGUCACUUAACGGCGCCUCAGCCCGCAGCCCGUCUGUCGCCCCCCACAUUGGCGACCUUGUGCCGCUUGCCAUGUACAUCAGGACGAAGCGGCAGAUCCGGCACUCCUUCAUCUCCGUCGCCGAUCAGCAGCUAGCAGUGGACGAAGAGGCGGUGGUCGACGACGCCGCGGGCAAUGUCGAGGCCGCCACAGCCGCGGAAGUGCUGCGGCCGAAGGACCUCGACCUGCCAUCUCUAGGUGCCACCAGAGGCAAGCACAAAAACCAGGUUGUACGCCUGCUGCCACCAGCGUCUAGCCCACGCUUCGGCAUCAACAAAGCAGUCACGAUCGUGGCGAACAGCACCCUGCGUGCGGCGGGUCAGAGCCUGCAGGAGGACACGGCGCUGCAGCAGAGCGACUUGGCGUUCCGCUUCAGCGUCGGCAGAGGGCUACACAAGGAGUCGACAUGGUUGCCGCUGGCGGCCCGCAAGAAAUACACAAGUCAGCUCUCCGAGACUCUCGCUGGCCGGCUACAUGAGAUGCAAGCCGCGCAAGCCGCCGACGCCGCAGCGGAGCGUCAGCGCGACAAGGAGGCCGCCGAGGCCAUGGACAACACGGCCGCUGCAGCCGCGGCGCAGAAGGUGCAGUACCUCUCCCGCGUCACCUUCUUCUUUGGCUAUCGCAAAGGCGAUCUGCAGAAGAUGACGUCCUUUUCUAUAGCGGCGCAGUACUCGCCAGAGGUGAAACCUGGUGUUGAGCUGCAGUUUCUCUGGAGCGAGCACCGCCCCUACAACCCGAAUCGUGCAGUAACGCUGUGCAGUGCCGUGGCGGUAUUGGUUUCGAUGAUCACCGUGCUGGCCGUGUUCCACCCCUCCAGUCGGAGUAUGCUGCUGUUCAGUCAACGCAUCGUCGCUGUGCGGGCCCACGACUGAGAUGCGGCUUUUGGCUUCUGUUUUGCUAUCCGCGUACGCGGCCAACCGAGCGAGUCUGAAUGAAGAGGGCGGAGGGGGAAGGCGGCGGCGUUCUCGAGCGCCGUCUUGCCAGGCACUCCCCUUCCCUCUCAGUGUGCUGUUAUCUCGUACUCUCGCCUCGCUUCGCCAGUCGAGCGCUUCCGCCCGAGCCUCACUCCCAUUUUCUCUCUCGUUGCUGUUGAAUACAUGUGUGUCUGCGCGUGUGCGUGUCUCGCCGCCCUUCCUCCCACCGUGAAGGUGAAGGUGGAGGGGGGGCGGCAACACAGACG
rnacentral:misc_RNA from 1 species